UCAACUUUCCCACUCAUGAAUUCUUCGUCCCUCAUUUUACCUAUUCACGACUUCACUUAUAUCUCUUAACAAUUAUCUGUUGAGAUCAUCAUCCUGAUUUUCAAUCAAUCCAACAAAAAGAGAAGUACGAGAACAAGAAAACACGGCUAUGGCCUUCUUCUACCACCAGGAUUAAAUGAAGUUGAAGCAAUUGUGUUCCAAAAAGUUGGAUGCACCAAAUCUUAAGAAAGUUGAAAUAGUAGAGAAUGAAGCCAUCCUUGUGGAUUUAAAGGUACACAUAUCCUAAUUCUUUUAAUUUCAACUUUUAAUUUUGUGUCUCACUUCACAAUAUUUUAGUUUCCCAAGAGUUGAGAUAUUAAUUAUCUCUGAGUAUGUAUUUCACAGGAAGCAGAGAUAAUCUUUUUGAGGCAUUCAAUUCUAUGAUUGGUACAAAAAGAAGAGGCAAAUAGAGUUGUCUGGAUGUUAAGAAUUUUGCUAUAAUGGCCAUCCAAGAUAUUGCCCUUUCAAUUGUGGGAAAAAUUGCAGAGAAGUGUGUCGAUCCAAUUUUGCGCCAAUUUCAGUACUUAAUUUUCUACAAAAGCAACGUUCAAACUCUGAGCGAUGACAUCAAAAUACUUGAGCUAAAGGAAGCUGAGGUGCAACAAUUGGUACGUCAAGCAAAAGACAAUGCUGAAGAAAUUAAACCAACUGUUGUUGAUUGGCUGAAACGAGUUGAGGAUGUCAAGAAAGAUGCGCACACUAUUUCUGAGGGUAUGGAGACUGCUAAGGUGAAUUGCUUGAAUAUUGUCAGGCUUCCGAAUUUGAAGUCAUGCUAUUUGCUAGGCCGACGUGCGGUGAAAAGAAAGAGUGCUCUUGAAAAGCUUUUAGGAGAGGGGAAUUUUGAUAAAGUUGGAAGCAUUGCUCCAUUAGGCAAAAUGCGUUUUAGUGAAUCAACCCCAUCCUUAGAGGAAGGCUUAGUUUCUAGGAUGUCAACAAAGAAGGAAGUGAUGGAAGCUUUAAAGCAGGAGAAAACUAGCCUAAUGGCGAUUUGUGGUAUGGGCGGCAUAGGCAAGACUACUCUAGUCAAACAAAUUGCUGACCAGGUUAAGUUCGAGAAAUUGUUUGAUGAAGUCGCCAUGGCAAUCGUGUCUCAAAGUCUAGACAUGAGAAUUGUCCAAGAUCAACUUGCUGAGCAGUUAGGGCUGAAGAUAACAGAGCAAACUGAUCGUGCCAGAGCUGAAAGAUUGUGUACGAUACUAACUGGUCGUGACAAGAGAAUUCUUGUUAUAUUGGAUGACAUUUGGAAAGAAGUUGGUUUUGAGAGUCUAGGAAUUCCCGUCAAAGGUGAAUGCAAGAGCUUAAAAGUUAUACUGACAUCUCGAUCCUCAGAUGUUUGUAGGGGCAUGGGAGCUGAAAUUUUUGAGGUGCAUGCCUUGCGUAAAGAAGAAGCAUGGCAUCUUUUUAAAGAGGUUGCAGAAAUUUCUGAUGAUUCUGCUUUGAGUGGUGUUGCAAAGCAAGUUGCAGAGGAAUGCAAAGGUCUACCUCUUGCAAUCGUUGUUGUUGCCCGGGCAUUAAAGGGCAAUCAUACUCCAGAAUCCUGGGAUCGUGCCCUUCGGCAACUAAAAGAGUACACAAUUAGAGAACUAGAAGGAGAUGAAGAUUUAGUGUUUUCAAGAAUUAAGUUUAGCUAUGACUAUUUAAAAAGCGCUGAAGCUAAGUCAUUACUUUUGCUUUGCAGUUUGUUUCCAGAGGAUUAUAGUAUUCCAAUCGAAUGUUUGGUUAGGUAUGGUAAAGGGCUAGAAUUGUUCCCAGAUAGACGGAGGUUAGUAGAUGUAAGAGACAAGGUAGACACGCUUAUUGGUCACCUGAAAAGCUCCUAUUUGUUGCUAAAUGAUGCUAAAAAAGAAGACUCUGUAAAACUGCACGAUGUCGUGCGAGAUGUGUGCUUGUCAAUUGCAUCAAAAGACGAGCAUGAGUUCUUAGUGAGCAAUUCUGGAGUGGGAGAAAAGAAUUCUUACACUGCAAUUUCGAUAAUAUCGCAAGAUUGCAAUCAUGAUCUACUUCCAUUUUGCAAGGAAUAUCCAAGGCUUAGGCUGUUGUGUUUGGUAUUCCGAUUUGGGAAAUUGAACCUACCAAGAGACUCUUUUGUAGGAAUGGAAACUCUCAGGGUCAUGGAACUAAACCACUCGCAAAUUGAAUUUCCACUAUCAUGGCCUGGCCAAAUGCUAAGGAGCCUUCGGACACUGUGCCUGGAUGAUUGUGUAUUGGGCACUGGAUUGUCGUCAAUGCUUGGACACAUGACGCAGCUGGAAACUUUGAGCCUCUUUGAAUCCAAAAUUCUGGAUGAUCAGUUUCCAGCUGAAAUCGGUCAGUUGAGUAAUUUAAAGUUGUUGGAUUUGAGGGUCAAAAGUAGCCUCCAUCCCUUGCCUAGUGGUAUCUUGUCAAGCUUGAAGAAACUAGAAGAAUUGUAUUUGGGAUCUGGUGAUCAUUUGCGGCUAGGGAGAGAUAAAGAAGAGGAAAAAAGAUGCCUUAAAGAGAUCUCAUCAAUCUCUAAUCUUGCAUGUCUCCAGAUUGCUUUGUAUGACCUUAGCCUCCUACUUCUAUCUUUGCAAGAAUUUGAUACUCAGAGGUUGUUAAGAUUUGACAUUGCAGUAAAUGAUUCUGAAAGAGCACUGGCAUUUCACAGCAAAACCUAUCAAUUUCGGAAAAGCUUCAAGCUUUAUCUGUCAGAUCAUGGUGAUGAAGGGUUGAAACAACUUUUUGACCCCAAUGUUACUAGCAUUGUCAAGAGAACUGAGAAUCUCAUUUUACGUCUUUCUGAAUCAUCAUGCUUGAGGAAUCUUGUGCCUGACUUGGGUGAAAACGGGUUCAUCAAUUUGAAAAAGCUUUAUCUAGACCGUGGACAAUAUGAAUGCCUUAUUUAUUCUACUGCCAACCUUGUUGCCCGACAUGUUUUUGAAAAUUUGGUGUCCAUGGAGUUACUAAGGUUGGAGUUGAAAGAAAUAUGUAAGGGAUUUCUUCCACCUGGGUGCUUCAGUCAACUUCAAGAGGUGAGAUUUUUUAGAAUAAGUGCUUUAGAGUGCUUGUGGAAGGGACCGGUCGAAUCUCCGUCGCUUUGCAACCUCAGAUCUAUUGAAGUACAAGAUUGUGCUCAAAUUACAACUCUCUUCUCACAAUCAGCACUGAAAUGUCUGGUGAAACUCCAAAAGAUAGGCGUAUUUAGUUGUGAAAAUUUGGAGAGAAUUGUUCUGAGGGAGGAAAGUCUGACAGAGGAGGUGCUUGAGCUACCCCAACUCAAAGCGUUAACCUUACGCUUUACAAAAUUUAUUGGUUUUGGCCCUGAAGAUGAUAAAGCUGUGGCUUUCUUUGACCAGGUUUCACUCCCCCGCCUGGAAGUACUAGAGAUUAAUAAUCCUGGUGAUGGCCCCGAACAACUAAUAGGAGGGAAAAUGCCUAGUGGGUCCCUCGACAACUUAAAAUCUGUGCAACUUUGGGAAUGUCGCUCUAUCCGAUGCAUUGCCAAAGGUGAUACAGUUACAUUAUUACAAAACUUGCAAGCACUUCUCAUGUGGAAUUGUCAUGGGAUGGAAUCAUUUGUCAACUUUGAGGGUCUAAAAGUUCAUAAUACUCCAUCAGAAAAGGCAUUUGAAAUUCUUCCCAAACUAGAGUCACUGCACUUGUGUGGCUGUGCAAGCUUCAUCUCUAUUUGGAGGAAUUUUCCUGAAGGGGUUCGAGUAUUCCAAAACUUGAGAAGUCUAAAAGUAGUAAACUGCACUUUAUAUUGUUUGUUUUAUCCUCCUUGCAUGGCUAACAUGCUCAUAAGUCUUGAGGCACUUGAAGUUUCUGUGUGCUCAAAAAUGUGUGAAGUUAUAGGUGAGGAAGAUGAAGAGAUCAGCCAAGAAGAUAAUACUCGGCAUCAUGAUGUUGGAAAACGUAGAGAAAUUGCACUGGAAAGAACUAGCAAGGAGUUCGUGUUUCCUAGAUUAAGUUUUUUGCGGUUGGCAUUCCUUGAGAAUCUUCGAAACUUCGGUGGUAGUCACCGGGAGGAUUAUGAGUUCAAAUUUCCCCUACUCACUAACUUGAUCAUAGAGAGUUGCCCAAUGUUGAAGAAAUUCUGUUCCGGAAAUUUGGAUGCACCGUUGCUUAAGAAAAUCCAAACAACGUCGAGAGAUGUAGAGAAUUUUGAAGCUCCCGUGGAUUUAAAGGAUCGAAAGAUUUGUAAAAUUACAGCGUAUAAUAAGGUAUAAUAAGGAAUCAGGGGGAAAAAAAUCCAGAGUAGAGAAAGCGAAAAAUAAACUGGAGCUACACAAACCUGGUGUCAAAUUGAUGUGGGAACUCCAAUAAUGUUGUGGGAACCAUCAAGUUGAUCGAAUAAUGUGGUCUAGUUACCACAGUCUUGACUGAACUGGUGGAUUGGGCUAUCAGAUAUGGAUGGAGAUCUUAACACACAUGGUUAAUACUAUAAGUGUGGAACUUAUAUAAGUUUUGUGUGCUUGCUUUUGUCAUUGAUAUUCAAAUAAUAAGCAUAUUGUAUGUAUGUAAUGUAUCAUGACUAUCAAAUAAUAAAUGCAUUGUAUGUAUCAUAUCAUGGACUUUAAACAAAAAGAAUGAAGCUUUUUUUUCCUGUGGA